rnacentral:lncRNA from 1 species
UUUUUAAAUUCGUUGAAAAAUACGGCUAAAAAACGGAUUUGGUAAUUAUUCGGAUACGUGAUUUAUACGGGUAUUAUACGUUCACCAAUUAAAAAUUCGAAAUAAAAAAUUCGACUAUAUAAUAAAUAUAAAUAAUUAAUAUACUAUAUAUAUUAUUAUUAUAAUUUUUAUAUAUAGAUUAAAUAUAUUCAAAAUUAUAAUAAACAUAUAUUAAUAAUAUUGUAACACACUGGACAUGUGCAAAUUGCGAGGUUCGAGUGUUUAAUAUGGAUUCCGAGCUUUUCCACACUUGGUAGAAGGUCGUAAAUGGUAUUCCGACCUAAAA